GCUCCAGAGAGCCACGGCUCAGAUACACAUUUAUUUUGAAAGGUAAUACAGUAGCUGUUAUUAGCUGUGUUUCGUUUGCAAAUAUGGAAAGAGAUGUUAGUGUUUGCUACAUGUAAAACACCUUCAGUUAUUUUCUAACAUAAAUUGUUGCUAUGGAUACCACUCUUUGGAUAGCAGCUGUUAAGAACAUCUGAAGAAGACCAACACACAUCUGUCAGACUUGGACUGCGCGUUCUCUUCUCUUUCCCAUUUUGAAAACUGAACAGAAAUGAUCUUCUAUUUUAUAUGUGACAUUUAUACCCCAGGCAAUUAUUAAUUAAAUAUAUAUUUUUUUAAAAAUUAUUGGCAUUUGAGAGAAAUGGAACAAUGUUCACUGUAAAAGUACAACAAUCUGGACAGGAAUGACUCCUUCAGUCACUCUUAUAUCCCGUCGAUGAAAACAGGAUUUGGAGAGUUUGUGUUUCGCUGGAUAAUGGCAGCAAAACUGAGCUCCAAAAUGUAAAGGUUUGUCCUUCUUCCCUAAUUGUAAGUUUAGUUAAAUCAUUACAGUUAAAACUUGUUUGGGUAGUCACUCCCCCAUAAACAAAGAGGAACCAGCACACUGUGUCCAUAUUCAUAUGCCGGCAGAGUAUGAAUAUGGAUACAGUGUGCGUAAGCAGGGACCUCCUUCACACGUCCUACUGUUGGCACGGUGACGAGUUAAUUAAAUGUCCCUCUGGAGUAAACUCCUCUUUCAAUGACGAUCGAAUAUGAGAUGGUCUGACUUUGAAAAAGACCUAAUGGAGUUUAUCUUAAUGUAGGCAAAAAAACAAAAAUGUAUUCAAAGUCUAACCACAUCAACUCUUUUAGAAUGAAGCAGCGAGAUCAGAGAAAUGAGAAUCUCUUGAGAAUAAAUGUGGGCCAUCAGAAAAAAUGUCACAUUGAUAAGUUUCAUCUUUCCUACUUAGCAAAUCUCGACAUGUCAACAUGUCUAUGAAUGCAAUAUUAAUACAAUACCUGUAAAUUAAAAACAUCUCAUCUACUCGUGCCCUUUUUUAACUGCCUGUUUUUAGCUUCUUCUCAUAAACAUGACACUACUUAGAUUAAUGUACUCCGAUAUUGUCCACCAAUGGAUGUGGUAAACAGAGGUAGUGUUUGUAUUGUUCUAUUGCUUUUAUUAAGAUAAAGAAUAUGUGAUUCUUUAUUUGGAACUGAAUGUAAAAACAGAAACAAUGCCACUCUUAGCUGAAGUGCAGCCGUUCUUUUUUAUUAUUAUUAUUUUUUACUUCAAGAUGUUUUUUAUGUUUUACUUUUGCACUAAUGUUAAUACUAUUUUGGACUAUAUAAAACUGCUUUCUGCUAAUUGUAGGGAAUUAUGUGCCAAUAAGAACUUGUGUGUUUGCUUUGAAGUUUAUCUUCUCCCUGUUGGGGGAGGGAGGGGAAAUGUUUUAAACAUUCAGCAGAAAAUAUCAGCUGAAAACAUGCCUGUAAAUAUGAAACAAACUGUGUGUUUUUUGUCCUCACACUCAGGAACGUUUCCAAGUUGACAUACCUGUUAGUUUGAUUUCUCCCCAGGUCCCCAUUAAGUGCUUAAAAGCGGAAAUCCUCAGUCGGAGCAUCACAGGGAGCUCGCUGGCCGUUUCAGCUCUGCAGGAUGUUUGGAGAAAUUCCCUGCGCUCACAUCAACACAGGCUGUGCUUUUUAUUAAAUACAGCUGUACCACAGUAUAUCCUGCACCUCUGCCAACAAUAAUUUUUCUUCCUCUUUCUUUUUUCUUCUUCUUCUUCUUCUUCAGGAUUUCUUGUUCACUCUUGUACUCUGUGGCAGCUCUCUUCACCUCGCUGACAGCAGACAGAAGCCAGAGAGGAGUCGUGAAUCCAGACUUUCAUCUCCCUUUACGUCUGUCAUGGCUGCCUUUCUGCAGCAGCAGCUGUGGAGCUCCGCGUCUCGCUGGCUUUUGUCUUCCUGUUCUUCAUCCCAUCGUUGCGAAUUUCUAGGAAGCAUCUUGGAUUGAAUGGAUCAUAUCUGAGGUGUCCAAACUUUUUGCCAGCAGGGACAAAAUCAUCGAGUUGAAAGCACUUGGAGGGCCAUGAAAAUGUAUUUUUGUGAAAUAAAAAUGUACAAAUAAAUGCAUUUUUCUUUUUUUUUUCAAUUUUUAUCUGUUCAAUAAUUAACUAAACAUGCAAGGUUUUAUUGAAUUGUACCAAAUAAACACAUUUUUGUUGAAAAUGGAUCUGUAAAAGAAAAUAAUGGUCCAAAACAUAAAGGGUCCUGUAUGAUUAGUGUUAUCACAAAACAUAAAAAACAGACUUUCAGUUUGCUGUGAUUGUUUUAUUUCUGGGGCCAAAAUCCUCAUAAUAAAUUUUAAAAAAG